CUAAAUGAUUUCAAUUGAAAAAGUCAUCAACAACAAAGUUGAAUAACUCAUCAAGAUCUAAAACUUUUAUUUUUGUUAUUUCUUCAUCCGACGAAAUGUUAGUAAUAUUAUUCAUAAAUUUUACAUAUAUGUGUUAUAGUUUAUAAAACCAGAUAAGAGAUAUGUCAAUUUUAUGAACAAUGUUACUAUCACUUUGUCGUAUGAAGAAAUGACCAAAAUAAAAGUUUUAGAUCUUGAUGAGUUAUUCAACUUUGUUGUUGAUGACUUUUUCAGUUGAUAUCAUUUAG
rnacentral:pre_miRNA from 1 species